AAGCGUGCGAUUGGAUUGCACGUCUAAGCAGUAAGGCUGAGUAUUAGGCAAAUCCGGUACUCGUUAAGGCUGAGCUGUGAUGGGGAGAAGACAUUGUGUCUUCGAGUCGUUGAUUUCACACUGCCGAGAAAAGCCUCUAGAUAGAAAAUAGGUGCCCGUACCGCAAACCGACACAGGUAGUCAAGAUGAGAAUUCUAAGGUGAGCGAGCGAACUCUCGUUAAGGAACUCGGCAAAAUGACCCCGUAACUUCGGGAGAAGGGGUGCUCUUUAGGGUUAACGCCCAGAAGAGCCGCAGUGAAUAGGCCCAAGCGACUGUUUAUCAAAAACACAGGUCUCUGCUAAACCGUAAGGUGAUGUAUAGGGGCUGACGCCUGCCCGGUGCUGGAAG
rnacentral:rRNA from 1 species